rnacentral:lncRNA from 1 species
GCUUUUGGCCAAUUAUCAACAAGAGAGUUGGCAAUUAGGCAAAAUCUAUAACGCAAAGUAAGCUAUGAACGGAAUUAAAACGUUAAGAAAGAUAAAAUGUAAAGCAUUUCUAACAAAAACAAAUUAAUUAAGGAUGUACUUAGGUGAGGUUUUGGAAUUUGUGUAAAAUGUUCGGACUCCUUGGUAUUUUUCCAUACAAUACAAUGUAAAAUAUUUUGCCCCAUGACACCCAUUUUUUUUUUCAUAUAAGGCUUAAUAGCUCAUGAAAGGUCAUUUACCAAAAUUUUAGAAGAUUCGUGAUUUUCUUUCUUCUGUUUUAAGACACAAAUAAUACCAAUGCAAAUGUAAGGUAAAAGUCCGAGUCAGCCUUUUCCCGCCAUAUUUUAAAUCUCAAAUAUCUCGAAAAGGAGGUCCAUGACCUAUCAAUAUUUUUAGCUUAUUUUUAUCCUUAAUUGAUGCUCUACCAGCUUAUAGUAUCAAUUUUAAUUUCUUUUUAAUUUCUUAAUUUUCACCUAACCUCACCUAAGUACAUCCUUAAUGUAAUUAAAACACAAUAAACGUAAAACAAAUAUUAAUGACAAUUGUAAACAACAACAUUAGAAUUACUGACUCCUGAUUUGGAACUUGCACAUUCAAAGGGAACCUGGGUUAACAUGUUAGCAAGCACUGAAUCCUACCAUCACCUGGACAUUUGUGUAACAACAGCACAAAACGACAUACUAUUAACAUAUGUGACUCUUCAGGUCGCCACACAGCCACCCCAUCCCCCCUUUCCCC